GGGGCAGUGCGACACGAAGCGGAAGCGAGUGUUAGAACACAAAAAUUCUGUUUAUCUUCGCUUCCUGUGUUGACAGAUCAAUUGGAGGAACAUGCUGAAUGCCAGAAGAUAUUACAGACAACAAUACUGCUCAGUGCAGUAACCAGACCUGGAAAAAAGCACUGCUCAAGGCAGACUUUUGGGACAGAGUGCUGCAUACAUGGGUUUACGCACAAACUGAGAUUUUGCAAGUCAACUGUCAAAGUCAUAAAGGGAGAUGGUGGACAAUGUUGAACAUUGAGUUGAAGUCCUAGAAUCUCGGUCAACUGCAGAUAGCAGCAUGACGUAAAGCAGACGUCUUGUUUCCCAGUCCAAUUUUAGUCAGAUAUUCUUGGUGGUAUGAAACCUGGAGUCAACACAGGUUUUUAGAGGUCUGCAAGUACAGAGUUUUAAAUUGUGAAAAAAAACCUCUAACCAGAUCACAGAGUGUGUGUGUGUUUUGCUGUGCUGAGAUAUUGCUGUGACAUAUGGUGCUUUUAGGUCCACAACCUGGUAUCCAUCAAAGAUUGGCCAUGCAUGGUGUUUACAGAACUGAAAGCCAAGCUGUUAUUUUUGAAAAUUUAUUAUAAAGUUCUAAAUGGAAAUACAAUUUGAAAAAUACAGACAACUUCUUGUAUUUUUAAGCUACCACUUAACCAUAGUGUUAACUGAUCGAUUACAGACAUAAAUGUAUGCCGUGAAGUUCAGUUUAAAGUGACUAAAUAUAAACGCUGUAACAGGAGGAUUGGUCAAUAGCUGAAAGGUCAAGUUCUAAGGCCAUUAUUCACAAGCCAAAUACUUUUGUGUCUCUAAAUCUCGUAUAGGGAGAAGAUGUCAAAAGGUCAUAUUUAUGCCCAACUUUGAAUAGGUGGUGAAUUGCUUUGCUCAUUGUUGGUCUGUCGGCAUCGUUUUAAUCCCCUGUCAUAAGUGGUGGGGAGUUAUAGGAAUGGUCUCUGUCCUUACGACCGUCCGUAACAUUUUGUAUCGCUAAGUAUAUCCUAAACCCCUCCAAGGAUUUUCAUGAAACUUAGGUCAAAUGAUCACCUCAUUAAAACGAUGUGCAGAACUU
rnacentral:lncRNA from 1 species